rnacentral:lncRNA from 1 species
CUUGUCUCCUUCUUUGCACCCUUUUAUAAGAACAUCAUCCAGAAAAGGCAUAGUCUUCUCCGAAAUAAAAUCUCUCAAUAUCUUAUUCAUCCCAUUCAUCAUAUGAGCAAACUAAGUUGGUCGCGCCUUGAGGAAGAAUGCACAUUCUAACCAAUCCAAGUGGUGUCCUCAUCAUCAUCAUAUCUCUAUUUCCUUCGGUAAGUUGAAAUUGAUCAUACCUUGAAUACAAAUCACUCAUUGAAUAGAUCGCCC